CAGGAAGUAAUUAUUUCUCAGUCAUUUUGCUUCCAACAUGGAACCAGAGAAGGAGGGAAAGGAGAAGAGAGGGGCUUUAGUAACUUUACCUAAACACUCGUACUGGUUUGACUUUUGGGUUUUUAUCGUCUUUGACAUCGCCUUUUUCGUCGUGAUGUAUUUUAUAGUGCCCUAAGCAUUGUUCCUGUUUCAUACUGCCGUUCUAAACUUACACAAAUCUGAGCUAGAUGACUGCAUGCGAGAGGAGGAGUCUGUCCUACGACGAUCCAUUGGGGGAACGCCUGGUUUGAAAAGUGAAGUUAUGUUUGGAGCAGUUUGACAAAGUUACGACGUCCUCCCUGGAGUGCUUUAACCGAUCAUUCCCAGCUGACAACUGUGUACUGUUAUUUUCAGUUAACGUUCUGCGUCUGAUUUGUUAAAUACCAUGUGUGCCUACAAUGCUAAAUUACAUCGUGUAAUUACAUUUGGUGUUUUGGGACGGAGAGUGGUCGCAAAUGUAAAACUCUUAAUUCACAUUUAAGCGAACAUGUAUAGUGUAUGACCCAAUAACUGUGUGCAUUGUUUUUGCGCGUUUUAAAUGGAUCCGCAGUGUUAAUUUCGUGUUUCAAGCCAUGCGAUGGGGUGAAAUAAACUACUAUUUUUUAAACUUGC